GGCCAUAUGGCUUAGUGGUUAAAGCAUCGGACCACUGUGAUUUUGUUGACCUCUUGUGACUCCCCUCACGUGGGUUCGAAUCCCACUAUGGCCC